rnacentral:rRNA from 1 species
UACGUAGGGGGCGAGCGUUGUCCGGAAUGAUUGGGCGUAAAGGGCGUGUAGGCGGCUUUAUAAGUCUGGAGUGAAAGUCCUGUUUUCAAGAUGGGAAUUGCUUUGGAUACUGUAGGGCUUGAGUGCAGGAGAGGUUAUCGGAAUUCCCGGUGUAGCGGUGAAAUGCGUAGAGAUCGGGAGGAACACCAGUGGCGAAGGCGGGUAACUGGACUGCAACUGACGCUGAGGCGCGAAAGUGUGGGGAGCAAACAGGAUUAGAUACCCUGGUAGUCCACACUGUAAACGAUGAAUGCUAGGUGUAGGGGGUAUCGACCCCUUCUGUGCCGGAGUAAACACAAUAAGCAUUCCGCCUGGGGAGUACGGCCGCAAGGUUGAA